GGCCACAUCACGUUGAAAAACCGGUUCCCCUACGAUCAACGAAGUUAAGCAACAUUGGGCCUGUUCAGUAUCUAGAUGGGUGACCGCUUGAAAGUAACAGAUGCUGUAA